GCGCCGGUGGUGUAAGGCGAACAUCGCUGCCCGGAAAGCAGAAGAUGGGGGUUCGAGUCCCGCCUGGCGCA
rfam:Heligmosomoides polygyrus genome assembly, scaffold: HPBE_contig0010719